rnacentral:lncRNA from 1 species
CACACUAGCAGCACAGUCCAUCCAGUAGGUAGUAGUAGUAGUAGUGUAUCACUCCAGCAGCACAGUCCAUCCAGUAGGUAGUAUUAGUAGUGUAUCACUCUAGCAGCACAGUCCAUCCAGUAGGUAGUAGUAGUGUCACACUCUAGCAGCACAGUCCAUCCAGUAGGUAGUAGUAGUGUAUCACUCUAGCAGCACAGUCCAUCCAGUAGGUAGUAGUAGUGUGUCACACUCUAGCAGCACAGUCCAUCCAGUAGGAUGUAGUAGUGUGUCACACUCUAGCAGCACAGUCCAUCCAGUUGGUAGUAGUAGUGUGUCACACUCUAGCAGCACAGUCCAUCCAGUAGUAUGUAGUAGUGUGUCACACUCUAGCAGCACAGUCCAUCCAGUAGGUAGUAGUAGUAGUGUC